rnacentral:rRNA from 1 species
GGAUGAACGCUAGCGGCAGGCUUAAUACAUGCAAGUCGUGGGGCAGCAUGAGUAGCAAUACUUGAUGGCGACCGGCAAACGGGUGAGGAACACGUACACAACCUUCCUUCAAGCGGGGAAUAGCCCAGAGAAAUUUGGAUUAAUACCCCAUAAUAUAUUUGAUAAGGCAUCUUAUUAAUAUUUAAAAGCUUCGGCACUUGAUGAUGGGUGUGCGGCUGAUUAGAUAGUUGGCGGGGUAACGGCCCACCAAGUCUACGAUCAGUAGCUGAUGUGAGAGCAUGAUCAGCCACACGGGCACUGAGACACGGGCCCGACUCCUACGGGAGGCAGCAGUAAGGAAUAUUGGACAAUGGACGAAAGUCUGAUCCAGCCAUGCCGCGUGAAGGAUUAAGGUCCUCUGGAUUGUAAACUUCUUUUAUAUGGGACGAAAAAGGGCAUUCUUGUUCACUUGACGGUACCAUAUGAAUAAGCACCGGCUAACUCCGUG